GGUUUCCGUAGGUGAACCUGCGGAAGGAUCAUUAACGAUUGCUAACAUAUAUGCAAAGACAAAAACGUUCUGAUUUUCGAUUAUUGGCUUUUGAAAACUCCUGACGAGAUCAGGAAGGACGUUGCCCUGUGUGACGGCCAUCGUGGUCGUUGUGCUUUUGCGCUUCGAACGAUGUAAAACAAACAACCUAUGGCCUCUCAUACAGUAUAAUAUCUUUCGCCAUGGUAUACAGGCCUGGCAUCUGGUACGAGUCUCUCGCAGUCUCAAAACCAACCUUACAACUCUGAGCGGUGGAUCACUUGGCUUGUGGAUGCUAUGAAGACCAUAGCUAAGUGUGAGAAUGGCAGCGAGCCGUCGCUAUAUGCGCUGUCCUCUUCUUAUCACAUGUCGAAUGCACAUUGCGCCCCACCCAGUGGUUGGCUAAACAACCUGCAGACAAAAGCCUGUUUAGUUGGAACAAAGGCGAGUGUGUGGCCCUCGAGCAACGGCGGGGGAGCCAGGAGCACAUGAGCGUGCGGACCUUCUACUCGUGAGUAGUCAGGCUGACCCUAUGGUGGGGCACUCCUAGUCGAGUGUGGUGGAUCGGACUCAUAUCUCUUGUUGUGCUUUGCGCGAUGGAGUUUGAGUUUCUUUGUUGCUGGUGGCAUUUGGGUCGACAUCAGUCGUGCCCGUAAACAACUGCCUUGGCUCGUGCCUCUGUACGUAAUGCCGUCUCUCGCGGGCGGUGUGGCAUCUCUCGCAGGUGUCCCUCACGCAGGAGCGUACAUUGAAGGCCAUAGCUGGCGAUCACUCGUGCGGCCAGGGCACUACCUUUUCUGGUAGGGCGCAAAGGUCCAAAAGGAUAAUGGUAAUACACGAGAGUCGGGUUUCUGGUACUCUAGCCCGCUUGUAUCCGGUGAGUGUCGUGGUGAUUUGGAUAUAUCCGAUAUGCAUUCUGGCAAAGGCUCGUCUCUCUCGUAGUAUUCGAGAAUGACAAACGCCUCACUUCUUUUGUUCACACACGCAUGCUGACAGACCAAGAAACGCCUGACGAGAUCAGGAAGGAUUUUCUAACAGUGUGAAAAAAGUAACAGAUAUGAUUACGGGCGCCGCUCCACUUCAUGCUUGAGCCGAGAUGCAACCGUUGGCACAUGAGAGAGACCUGGCUGCUCGUGUAAGCCACCACCUCGACUUAGGAGAGGCUACCCGCUGAACUUAAGCAUAUCAGUAAGCGGAGGAAAAGAAACCAAUCAGGGAUUCCCUUAGUAGGGGCGACCGAACAGGGAUGAGCCCAGCGCAGAACCUCCCGGGCCACCCGGCCUGCGGCGGAAUGUUGCGUUAAGGGAAAGGUCGUAGUCAAACCCCACAGCCACGCGAGCUCUAAGUUAGUCACGAAUUGGCUACCCCAACUAACGGCGGGAUAAUCUCCACGGAGGGUGUAAGACCCGUGUGGGCGCGUGUAAAUGCUGUGUGGGCUCGGCCUCUUUUCCCUGAGAGUCGCGUUGCUUGAGCAUGCAGCGCUAAGCAGGUCGUAAACUCGAUCUAAGGCUAAAUAUGUCCACAAGACCGAUAGCGAACAAGUACCGUGAGGGAAAGUUGAAAAGCACUCUGAAGAGAGAGUCAAAAGACC
rnacentral:rRNA from 1 species